AGGACGAACGCUGGCGGCGUGCCUAAUACAUGCAAGUCGAACGAGACUUUCCUCGGUAGUAAUACCUUUGAUUGUCUAGUGGCGAACGGGUGAGUAACACGUGAGAAACCUGCCCUGAAGACGGGGAUAACAGGAGGAAACUUCUGCUAAUACCCGAUACCCCCACCGGAUCGCAUGGUCUGGUGAGGAAAUGGAUUCCGCUUCAGGAGGGUCUCGCGGCCUAUCAGCUUGUUGGUGAGGUAAUGGCUUACCAAGGCUUGGACGGGUAGCUGGUCUGAGAGGACGAUCAGCCACGCUGGGACUGAGACACGGCCCAGACUCCUACGGGAGGCAGCAGUAAGGAAUAUUGCGCAAUGGGCGAAAGCCUGACGCAGCAACGCCGCGUGCGGGAUGAAGGCCCUCGGGUUGUAAACCGCUUUCAGUAGGAAGAAAAUGACGGUACUACAGAAGAAGCCCGGCAACUACGUGCCAGCAGCCGC
rnacentral:rRNA from 1 species